ensembl:lncRNA
UUUAUUCUCAAACUUUUCAACAAUAAUGUGAAGAAAUCUUGUAACUGAAAUCAACUUCAGAAAAAAAGAAAGCCAGUUUGCAAAGUGAACUGGUGAUCACGGGAGGAAACAUUGGCCAUCGUUUAAGCAUAUUGAUCCAAAUCAGCCUUGUAUGAUUCGUAGGUCAUUAUUUCAAGGCAGAUGGAAAACAAAAGAUAUGGAAAAUAUACUGCAACAGGGUGCUCUGCAUGGCAACUUACUAUUCUGAAUGGAAAUGAAAGGAAAACACUAGGAUUCUACUCUCCUUAACUGUUCAAAACGGAUUCCAUGGUCCACAAAAAUGAGGAAAAAAAAGCCAUUCAGGUUCUGUCUCACACACUGGACCCAGCACAUAACCAUUCCCCUGAUUGAAGGACACAAUGUCAGUGAACGAAGAGAAGGCAUAGAACCAGGACCUAUGCACCUGAAAUCCAAAAAGGACCAAAACCAUAGAGCCUGUGACAACUUGAUCCAGCACCAAGAACGAUGUGUGAAGUAUAUUGAAGAUAAAACCCAUGAACAUAAAUAAUGCCUUUUUAAAAAGUAAUGUUAAUUUACAUCAUUUUAAUAAUAUUCCUUCUUUACAGUGCUUUUACCUUCCUAAAUUAAAAUAUUAGUACUUCAUAGUCCUUUUCGUUCCACAAUUACUG